rnacentral:lncRNA from 1 species
GCGCCUCCGUCUCAGUUCCGUGCUCCGCUCGCUUCGGGAACCGCGUCGAAUUUUCCGCCUCCACUCACAGCCGUCCGCUCCGAAAGCCCCGUAGCUCCAUUCCGAAUUCCUUAUUUUCGAGACUUGUAUUUAAUUGGCGCAGUCGGGAAAGGAUCUGCUUAGAUACGUGUUCGCCCGUCUCAACGAUUCUCGUAUCGUUCGUUUCAACGAUUUAAAGCAGUUUCGAACAGUUCGCAUCGCCUUGUGCUUCCGCUUUAGACGACGCAACCCGGUUUCAACUCAUCACCGUUCUGGCGUAAACAGAGAAGAAGUUGCAGUGUUUUUCAGCCACUGAAAGGAAGAUCAGAUUCUAUCGUUACCCACUACAGCCUGGACAUCAAGUGAAGCAGCCAUCCUCAGCUCAAAUGUGGAUCGCACGAUUUGUUUGUUUAGCUGUCCACAGAUGCACCGCUGUACAGAUAGAAGACAAUGCCCCAUGUUGCCUAGAUUUUCAGCAACACGGUACAACGAGCCAAUGCCCUUUUGUGACCGUUGCCCGUUCUCCACUGGUAUAUUCAUCAACAACUCUUGGACGCACCAUUCUGUUUCUCCCUGAUGAAACCCGCCUGAAUAUAUCAUGCAACGCUCAAACGGAAUCCAAACUCUACUCUGGACUCCUUCUACUGGCAAACACCAAUUGCUCAAUGAAUCUCGACGGAACAAUCUUGCAUCUCAAUAGUACAACCAUUACUCAACCUCACGUCUCCGAUUUACAGCCUCUUGAAACGAACUUUGUACAUGUUGCUCCUGCAAACCUCAGCUUGACAGAUUUAAUGUUCAAUAGCCAUUCUGCCUAUAUGCCGUUACCAAUUAUUCCAGUCGUAACAGCUGAUACCAAUCAUACUUUUAUUAUGUAUUUAAUUUUAGGUACAUCUCUAGGCGUAGUAUUGAUUUUUCAAAUUACCAUAUAUUGUUCUUCAAAAAAUAGGCCAGAACAGAUGAUUCAGUUGCAACCUUUAAAACUCAGUUAGUCCCAUUCACCAUUGGAAUGUUACCCCUUUGAGUUUUCACUAGGAAGGGAGGAAUUAUAUGCGUCAUCCUAACUUAUGUAACUUAUCACUUUUUACGUCAUGAUUCCUCUUACAUGCGUCAUCCUAUCUUAUGUCACUUAUACUUUAUCUUACGUCGUUCCUGUUGAGUCACUCAUCUCCCUUAUCUGACUUAUGUCAUUGUGAUAAUGAAGCCAUAUAUGCACUUGCUGCCUUGACCACAGCGUCAUUCGUUCAAUAUUCUUAUCGAGAGUACAAGCCUUCUGUGCUUUGUUUACAUCGUUGUUUUGAUUGUAGAGUGAUCCCUGUUUCUUAAUAUAUCUUUUUUAAAGUUAUUUUCGAGACUUGUAUUUAAUUCGCGCGCCGCUCCCCUGUGGGUUAGGACAUACCCACUGUGUUUGG